UACGUAGGGUGCAAGCGUUAAUCGGAAUUACUGGGCGUAAAAGCGUGCGCAGGCGGUGAUGUAAGACAGUUGUGAAAUCCCCGGGCUCAACCUGGGAACUGCAUCUGUGACUGCAUCGCUGGAGUGCGGCAGAGGGGGGAUGGAAUUCCGCGUGUAGCAGUGAAAAUGCGUAGAUAUGCGGAGGAACACCGAUGGCGAAGGGCAAUCCCCCUGGGGCCUGCACUGACGUCAUGCACGAAAGCUGGG
rnacentral:rRNA from 1 species